rnacentral:rRNA from 1 species
GGGACUAUGCCUGGCCAGGACGAAGUCAGGGGAAACCCUGAUGGAGGUCCGUAGCGAUUCUGACGUGCAAAUCGAUCGUCAGAGCUGGGUAUAGGGGCGAAAGACUAAUCGAACCAUCUAGUAGCUGGUUCCCUCCGAAGUUUCCCUCAGGAUAGCUGGCGCUCGCUGACGAGUCCCAUCCGGUAAAGCGAAUGAUUAGAGGCCUUGGGGUCGAAACGACUUCAACCUAUUCUCAAACUUUAAAUGGGUGGGAACCGCGGCUUGCUUGAAAGCUGAAGCUCGCGGUGUUUCGGAUCGGAGUGCCAAGUGGGCCAUUUUUGGUAAGCAGAACUGGCGCUGUGGGAUGAACCAAACGCCGGGUUAAGGCGCCCGAACGGAUGCUCAUUGGACACCAUGAAAGGUGUUGGUUGCUUAAGACAGCAGGACGGUGGCCAUGGAAGUCGGAAUCCGCUAAGGAGUGUGUAACAACUCACCUGCCGAAGCAACUAGCCCUGAAAAUGGAUGGCGCUGAAGCGUCCUGCCUAUACCCGGCCGCCGGGGCAGAGGGAGGGCGAUCAUGUCGUCCUUCGCAAGGCCCCGGCGAGUAGGAGGGUCGCGGCGGAGUGCGCAGAAGGGUCUGGGCGUGAGCCUGCCUGGAGCCUCCGUCGGUGCAGAUCUUGGUGGUAGUAGCAAAUACUCCAGCGAGGCCCUGGAGGACUGAUGUGGAGAAGGGUUCCGUGUGAACAGCCGUUGCACACGGGUCAGUCGAUCCUAAGCCCUAGGAGAAAUCCGAUGUUGAUGGUCGCGGGAUGAAAGCAUUUUGUGUWAGUACACCCCGUCCGUCGGGCGAAAGGGAAUCCGUUUCCUAUUACGGAACCCGGUUGCGGAACCGCACUCACGAUCCUCGUAUUGACACGGUAACGUGAAGGACCCCAGAGACGCCGUCUGGAGCCCCGGGAAGAGUUUUCUUUUCUGCAUAAGCGUUCGGGUUCCAUGGAAUCCUCUCGCAGGGAGAUAUGGAAUGGAGCGCGAAGAGCACCGCAGUUGCUGCGGUGUCCGGGGAUUCCCGUCGGCCCUUGAAAAUCUGGGUGAGGGUCACGUGGAGGCGUCGCACCGGCUCGUACCCAUAUCCGCAGCAGGUCUCCAAGGUCAAGAGCCUCUAGUCGAUAGACUAAUGUAGGUAAGGGGAAAGUCAA